rnacentral:rRNA from 1 species
AGGCUGAAGGUACCGUAAGAAUAAGGAUCGGCUAACUCCGUGCCAGCAGCCGCGGUAAUACGGAGGAUCCAAGCGUUAUCCGGAUUCAUUGGGUUUAAAGGGUGCGUAUGCGGGAUAAUAAGUCAGUGGUGAAAGCCUGCAGCUUAACUGCAGAACUGCCAUUGAUACUGUUAACCUUGAGUGUGUUUGAAGUGGGCGGAAUGUGUCAUGUAGCGGUGAAAUGCGCAGAUAUGACACAGAACACCAAUUGCGUAGGCAGCUCACUAAACCAUAACUGACGCUGAGGCACGAAAGCGUGGGGAUCAAACAGGAUUAGAUACCCUGGUAGUCCACGCCGUAAACUAUGAUUACUCGAUGUGUGCGAUAUACAGUACGCGUCCAAGCUAAAGCUUUAAGUAAUCCACCUGGGGAGUACGGUCGCAAGAUUGAAACUCAAAGGAAUUGACGGGGGCCCGCACAAGCGGAGGAGCAUGUGGUUUAAUUCGAUGAUACGCGAGGAACCUUACCAGGGCUUGGAAGUUAGUGACGUUUCGGGAAACCGGAAUUUCAGCAAUGACACGAAACUAGGUGCUGCAUGGCUGUCGUCAGCUCGUGCCGUGAGGUGUUGGGUUAAGUCCCGCAACGAGCGCAACCCCUAUCUUUAGUUGCCAGCGAGUAAUGUCGGGGACUCUAGAGAAACUGCCCGCGUAAGCGUGAGGAAGGUGGGGAUGACGUCAAGUCAGCACGGCCCUUACGUCCUGGGCUACACACGUGCUACAAUGGCCAUUACAAUGGGUCGCUACCUGGUGACAGGAUGCUAAUCUCAUAAAAAUGGUCUCAGUUCGGAUUGGAGUCUGCAACUCGACUCCAUGAAGCUGGA